rnacentral:rRNA from 1 species
GUAGGGAAUAUUGGGCAAUGGAUGCAAGUCUGACCCAGCCAUGCCGCGUGGAGGAAGAAGGUCCUCUGGAUUGUAAACUCCUUUUUUGGGGGAAGAAUAGUUCUCUUGCGAGGGAAUGUGACGGUACCCUAAGAAUAAGCCACGGCUAACUACGUGCCAGCAGCCGCGGUAAUACGUAGGUGGCAAGCGUUGUCCGGAUUUAUUGGGUUUAAAGGGUGCGUAGGUGGUUUGAUAAGUCAGUGGUGAAAGCUGGUUGCUCAACAAUCAAGUUGCCAUUGAUACUGUCGGACUUGAGAGAAGUGGAGGUUCAUGGAAUGGAUGGUGUAGCGGUGAAAUGCAUAGAUAUCAUCCAGAACGUCUAUUGCGAAGGCAGUGGGCUGUACUUUAUCUGACACUGAGGCACGAAAGUGUGGGGAUCAAACAGGAUUAGAUACCCGAGUAGUCC